GGCGCGCUCACGCGCCUCCGUUACACACACCUGCUGGCGGGAACGGGAGCCAGGACCGCGUCUGUUCUCCUCCACCGGCGAACCGACGACCAGCAGAGGAGGGAGCACCGAGGAUAACCCUACGCUACAAUUCCUCCAUCUCCAUCAGUGGACUCAAACUGAGAGGGGAAAGCCAGCGAGUGCAAAUCACAGUCGGCCUUUCCCCUGCCCAUCUAAAAAGGGGGAGGCGGUGCCACCACCUGUAUCCAGCCUCCGCUGCAGGAGCUUGGAGAGACUGCUCACAGUAUUGCGGAUAAGUGAAACCCCACAGGAGGUUUUUGUUUGUGGCUUCAACAAGUUCCUUAUUUUGGCGACGAGUGUGCCUGCGAUGUCCUUGGUGACUUGAUUUAGGCGAAGGCAGUUUAUGGCGCCCUGGACUACUUCUUGAACUGGAGCGCACACCAUUGUCCAGGGUUGUUUCUUGCUGUGUGAACCAGAACGUGACCUGUGAUGCCCUAACCCCCGGCCGUCUUCUGCAUCGCUACACCCCCUACAGCACAGCCCGAGCAGAGGGGCCAUCGGCCGGACCGCCUGGCACACUGAUCUAGGGGCCAAACGGACACUCCGGUACGGUCUGCAGAUCCUGAGUCUGCCCCCCCCCCCCCCCCCCCCCGGGUGAGCCGCCCUCACUU
ensembl:lncRNA